GUUGAGCGGAGAUAUAUGGAGCUUGCUUUAUAUAACUUAGCAGCGAACGGGUGAGUAACACGUAGAUAAUCUAUCCUAUACUGGGGGAUAGCCCGAUGAAAGUUGGAUUAAUACCGCAUAUAGCUAUAUAGUUGCAUGAUUAUGUAGUGAAAGAUUUAUUGGUAUAGGAGGAGUCUGCGGCACAUUAGCUAGUAGGUGAGGUAAAGGCUUACCUAGGCGACGAUGUGUAGCCGGUCUGAGAGGAUGAACGGCCACAAUGGAACUGAGACACGGUCCAUACUCCUACGGGAGGCAGCAGUGGGGAAUAUUGCACAAUGGGGGAAACCCUGAUGCAGCAACGCCGCGUGAGUGAAGAAGGUUUUCGGAUUGUAAAGCUCUGUUAGCAGGGAAGAGGAAGGACGGUACCUGCAGAGGAAGCCACGGCUAACUACGUGCCAGCAGCCGCGGUAAUACGUAGGUGGCAAGCGUUGUUCGGAAUAACUGGGCGUAAAGGAUGCGUAGGCGGUUAAACAAGUUAUAUGUUAAAUAUAUAGGCUUAACCUGUAGAAAGCAUAUAAAACUGUUUAACUAGAGUGCAGGAGAGGUAAGUGGAAUUCCUAGUGUAGCGGUGAAAUGCGUAGAGAUUAGGAAGAACACCAAUGGCGAAGGCGACUUACUGGACUGUAACUGACGCUGAGGCAUGAGAGCAUGGGGAGCAAACAGGAUUAGAUACCCUGGUAGUCCAUGCUGUAAACGAUGGGUACUAGGUGUGGGUUGUGAAAUAAACAAUUCGUGCCGU
rnacentral:rRNA from 1 species